AAGAAGGAUCAGCUGAGAAGAGGAAGUUUAUGGAGAUUUUCCCACAGGUGGAUUUAGAACAACUGGAUCAACCAGUCUGGACUGGUUCCUACUGGUCUGGGACCAGUGGGGUCAUUGGGUCGGAACCGACCUCCUGGUUCUGGACUCCAGGUUGUGUUGCUGCCACCAGCAGCAGAUGCUGCAGCUCCAACUUCUGUCCACUAGAUGGAGGCAUUCAAAGGUCUGCAUCCAACGACACACCUGUUAGGAUGAGGGAGGGACAAUCAGCUGAGGACGGAUGACGGAGGGACAAUCAGCUGGGCUGCUUUACUUCUUCAGCGGCCAGAAGGACUCUGGUUCUGUUCCUGGUUCUGGUUCUGGAGGGCUCCAUUAUCUCUCCUUCAAAGAUCCGGACCGGGCCAGAACCUCUGGACAGCUGGACCCAUCUUGAGAGACGCCGUCUUCUGGAUGGACAUGGAGGACGACUCAGACCGGACCAGCGGGCUGACCGGAUCAGAAACAAACCCAGAACUGAGACUUCCUGACACCAACCAGGUGUGUUACCAUGGCAACAGGUGUUGAUAUGAACGUGUCCUGUUCUGAUAGAAGAGGAGAACCAAAGUUUUAUUUUAUGAAUCUGAAAACAACGGAAAUAAAGCAACAGAAAACAAAAUCCUGAAUGUUUUCUGAUCAGAGUCCAA